UACAGAGGUCUCAAGCGUUGUUCGGAUUCAUUGGGCGUAAAGGGUGCGUAGGCGGUUCGGCAAGUCGGAUGUGAAAUCUCCACGCUCAACGUGGAGGGGCCAUUCGAAACUGCCGUGACUCGAGUCCGGUAGGGGAGUGUGGAAUUCCCGGUGUAGCGGUGAAAUGCGCAGAUAGUCGGGAGGAACACCAGUAGCGAAGGCGGCACUCUGGGCCGGUACUGGACGCUGAGGAGCGAAAGCGUGGGGAGCGAACGAGG
rnacentral:rRNA from 1 species